UGGUGUCCUAGGCGUAGAGGAACCACACCAAUCCAUCCCGAACUUGGUGGUUAAACUCUACUGCGGUGACGAUGCGGUAGUAUAUAUAAGGGAUCAAUAGCUGAUACCACUCC
rnacentral:rRNA from 3 species